rnacentral:rRNA from 1 species
UACGAAGGUGGCAAGCGUUACUCGGAAUUACUAGGCGUAAAGGGCAGGUAGGUGGUUCGGUAAGUCUGUUGUGGAAGCUCCCGGCUCAACUGGGAGAGGUCAACAGAAACUACCGGACUUGAGUAUAGGAGAGGGUACUGGAAUUCCCGGUGUAGCGGUGAAAUGCGCAGAGAUCGGGAGGAACACCAAUGGCGAAAGCAGGUACCUGGACUAUUACUGACACUCAGCUGCGAAAGCUAGGGGAGCAAAC